rnacentral:lncRNA from 1 species
AGAGAGACCAUGAUGGCGGCGGCGCUGGGGCCCCCAGAAGUGAUCGCUCAGCUGGAGAACGCGGCUAAAGUUCUGAUGGCACCACCUUCCAUGGUCAAUAAUGAACAACGCCAGCAUGCAGAGCACAUAUUCUUAUCAUUUAGGAAAUCAAAAUCACCAUUUGCAGUUUGCAAGCAUAUUUUGGCUGUGUUAUUUUUUAGUUCUUCAUGCUUUGGAAGUAACAGUUGAAGAGAGGUGAGGAAAGUUUGUGAAAAUUGUGAUCGGUGAUUAGCUGCCACCUGCCUGAGGUGUCUUCUGAGAGGAACUAACCUCUUUGUGGUGCUAGAGCAAGGUCACUGGAUAAAAAAAAGAACAGAAACUAGUAAAGUGGACUAUGUCCUCUUUCAAGCUGCCACAGCCAUAAUGGAAGCAGUUGUCCGAGAGUGGAUUCUCUUGGAAAAAGGUAGCAUCGAGUCUCUGCGAACAUUCCUUUUAACCUAUGUCUUACAAAGGCCCAACCUUCAAAAGUAUGUUCGGGAACAGAUUCUACUAGCAGUAGCAGUAAUUGUAAAAAGAGGAUCAUUAGAUAAAUCAAUUGACUGCAAAAGCAUUUUUCAUGAAGUCAGCCAGUUGAUUAGUAGUGGCAAUCC